rfam:Triticum urartu cultivar G1812 contig796667, whole genome shotgun sequence.
UUGGCACUCCCUCCGUCCAGAAAUAUUUGUUCUCAAAAUGGAUAAAUUGGACGUAUCUAUAACUAAAAUAAGUCCAGAUACAUCCAUAUCUAGGACAAGUAUUUUCGGACGGAGGGAGUAUUAA